rnacentral:rRNA from 1 species
UACGAAGGGGGCUAGCGUUGUUCGGAAUCACUGGGCGUAAAGCGCACGUAGGCGGAUCUUUAAGUCAGGGGUGAAAUCCUGGAGCUCAACUCCAGAACUGCCUUUGAUACUGGGCGAUCUUGAGUCCGGGAGAGGUGGAGUGGAACUGCGAGUGUAGAGGUGAAAUUCGUAGAUAUUCGCAAGAACACCAGUGGCGAAGGCGGCUCACUGGCCCGGUACUGACGCUGAGGUGCGAAAGCGUGGGGAGCAACAGGGA